UAAUAAUAUUGAAUAUCUCCAAAUUUUAUACGAAAGGCCACGAAAUACUGUUUUUUGAAAAAAUUACAUUAUGUACAACACUUGGUGAAGGAUUAUCAAAAACCGGUUUUUAACAUUAAAUUUGGUAACGCACAAACAUCGAUCAUUGAUAAAUGAUUUAUAACCAACUCUGAAUCGACUAAAGUUCUGCACGUUUUAGGUAGUAUUCAUUCCAUCAAAACACAUGGCUAUAUAGCAUUACUUGAUGACCAUGUCACGUUGGUCAUGCAUCCCAACGAAGUAUUAGUUUCAUAAACAGGUAAUU